rnacentral:rRNA from 1 species
AUGGCGUCGCAGAAGCGCUUCUCGCUGCCGGUGGCGCUCGUGUUCCUCCUCGUGCUGCUAUUCGUCGCCGGCGCAGGCUUCAAGCUUCAUCACAAGGAUUGUAACCCGUCGGUGUCACGCGCGAGCGAACUGUCCGAGGAUUCCAGGUCCAUGCCCCGCAAACUGUUGCGCGUAGCCGUCCACCGAACGGAAGCACGAGAAUCCGACAAGCCGUCGUCGGGCGGCUCGGCUCUGCCGAGGGGCAUCGUGCAAGCCACGUCCGACCUCGAGAUGGUGUCCAUGGUCGGCGACCCUGAGCAGCAGGGCGGCAGCAGGCCGUCCAAGAGCCUCCUCGCGAUCCCGGUGGGUAUCAAGAACAAGGCGGCCGUCGACAAACUCGUCUCCAAGUUCCCCGCCGACCGGUUCACCGUGAUGCUGUUCCACUACGACGGGGCCGGCGAGGAGCAGUGGGGCGACCUCGAGUGGUCGCGCCGCGCGGUGCACGUCUCGGCGCUCGGCCAGACCAAGUGGUGGUUCGCCAAGAGGUUCCUGCACCCCGACGUCGUCGCGGCGUACGACUACGUCUUCCUCUGGGACGAGGACGUCGAGGUGGACGCCUUCGACCCGCUCAGGUACCUCGACAUCGUCAAGAGGGAAGGGCUCGAGAUAUCGCAGCCGGCGCUGGACCGCCGGUCGGAGAUCCACCACGGCAUCACGACGCGCGCGCUGCUGAGGCCCGGAGCCGAAGGAGGGGGCGACGUGCACAGGCGGUUCUACAAGCCGGCGGCCGGCUGGGGAGGUGGAGGGUGCGACGACAGCAGCACGGGGCCGCCGUGCGCCGGGUGGGUGGAGAUCAUGGUCCCGGUGUUCUCCCGCGCGGCGUGGCGCUGCAGCUGGGGCAUGGUGCAGAACGACCUGGUACACGCCUGGGGCCUCGACUACAAGCUCGGCCACUGCGCGCAGGGCGACAGGACGCUCAAGGUCGGCGUCGUCGACAGCGAGUACGUCCUCCACAGGGGAGUCCCCACCCUCGGCGGCACCGAGGGCAAGGCCGCCGCGUUCCGGGUCGCCGUGAGGCGGCGAUCGUUCGCCGAGAUGCAGAUAUUCAACAGGAGAUGGAAGGAGGCCGCGGCGGACGACGCCUCCUGGACAGACCCUUACCCGUAG